rnacentral:rRNA from 1 species
GAUGAACGCUGGCGGCGUGCUUAACACAUGCAAGUCGAACGGGAAACCUUUUAAUGAAGCUUCGGCAGAUUUAGCUGGUUUCUAGUGGCGGACGGGUGAGUAACGCGUGGGUAACCUGCCUUAUACAGGGGGAUAACAGUCAGAAAUGACUGCUAAUACCGCAUAAGCGCACAGGACCGCAUGGUCCGGUGUGAAAAACUCCGGUGGUAUAAGAUGGACCCGCGUUGGAUUAGCUUGUUGGUGGGGUAACGGCUCACCAAGGCGACGAUCCAUAGCCGGCCUGAGAGGGUGAACGGCCACAUUGGGACUGAGACACGGCCCAGACUCCUACGGGAGGCAGCAGUGGGGAAUAUUGCACAGUGGGGGAAACCCUGAUGCAGCGACGCCGCGUGAAGGAAGAAGUAUCUCGGUAUGUAAACUUCUAUCAGCAGGGAAGAUAGUGACGGUACCUGACUAAGAAGCCCCGGCUAACUACGUG